rnacentral:tRNA from 1 species
GGAGAGGUGGGUGAGUGGCUGAAACCACCGGUUUGCUAAACCGACGUACUCUUAACGGGGUACCGCGGGUUCGAAUCCCGCCCUCUCCGCCA